rnacentral:rRNA from 1 species
UGGGGAAUUUUGCACAAUGGGGGAAACCCUGAUGCAGCGACGCCGCGUGAUUUAGAAGGCCUUCGGGUUGUAAAAAUCUUUUCUAUGGGAAGAAAAUGACAGUACCAUAGGAAUAAGGACCGGCUAAUUACGUGCCAGCAGCCGCGGUAAUACGUAAGGUCCGAGCGUUGUCCGGAAUCAUUGGGCGUAAAGGGUACGUAGGCGGUUAGAAAAGUCUGAAGUGAAAGGCAGUGGCUCAACCAUUGUAGGCUUUGGAAACUGUUUAACUUGAGUGCAGAAGGGGAGAGUGGAAUUCCAUGUGUAGCGGUGAAAUGCGUAGAUAUAUGGAGGAACACCGGUGGCGAAAGCGGCUCUCUGGUCUGUAACUGACGCUGAGGCUCGAAAGCGUGGGGAGCGAACAGG